GUGUGCAUCUCAGUUGCUGUAUGCAGUGUAUAAAACUCAUUUGUGUUGGUUUCUCCUCUUACAGCCCCUCCCCCAAACCUACCUUUCUACCUAUUGAGACGUCUGUGUACUUUACAUAGUGAAGUGGAUUUUUUUUAAAAGCAAAAUAGUCCAUGUCCAACAGCAGACUUCGGCCCAAUGCAAUCAUAGGAUACUCUCCCAUGUUUUGACCAUGCAUUCAUUUCCAGUCAUUUAACUUGGAAGCCCCGAACCAAAACCCAUGCCCAUCAGCAGCAGGAGAAAAGAACUAAGGAAUGUUGGCUGCGUUUAUUUAAAAAUGUAGGUGGUCUGUGGGUGAACUUCAUUCAUCCUCCUCCUAGCCAGCAAAUUGUCACCUGCAGUAUUUCAGCAUGGUUCUGGAAACUGCAAAAGCCCUAACGUUUAGGGGGAAAGGUGGCAACCCUAACCCCUGAGUUUCAGGAGAAGAAUGAGAGGUUCCCCUCUCCCCUUCGCCCUGAUGCUUUUGUUAGUAGACUAAGCUGCUUUGAGGAUUGCCAGCUUUCCCCCUUCCAGCAAGGCCCUUCCGCUUUUAAAAACUCAUGCCACGCAAUAAGGAGGGAGGAAACGCAAUAGCAGGCUGCAGCUUGGGGUUAACCUGUUAAAUCUGAAUCUGAAGCAGGAGACCUAAGUAGCUGUGGCUCUUCGUCUUCCUUCCACACAUGCACGCACCAGAUCCAUGCUCCCUCCUCUGUGUGGCAUCUUCAGAGACCUGCUAGCUGCAAUUGGCUGGGUAGGGGGUGUGGGGAAGGUGGAAGCAAGGAAUGGAGGUACACAGACACUGGAACAGGCACCCCCAACCUUCGGCCCUCCAGAUGUUUUGGACUACAA